CCAUCGGUGAUUCUUCCUUAUUUUGGACAUCAAAAAUCAGAUCAAAAUCCAUCAAAAAGUCAAGUAAAUCUCUUCAAUCCUCCUCUUUCAAUCUGCUAUGAAUUUUAAACUUGAUUUUUUGCCGAUUUAUUGUCAGAAAAAUUCUUGAAAUCCUAGUUCAACAAGUUCUCCUAUUUUUUUAUUUUUUUUAUCUUUCCGGCAUCGUUAGGCUG
rnacentral:lncRNA from 1 species